ACUCGAUUCUGCCCCUAAUACUUACAUGGGAUAAUGGAAUACGACCCUGUCCUCCUAUUUCGUUGGUUUUCGAGGACUAUGGUAAUGAUUAAUAAGGAUAAUUGGGGGCAUUAAUAUUUAAUUGCCAAACGUGAAAUUCUUGGAUUUAAGAAAGAUUAUGUUCUACGAUUUCAUCUGCCUUGGACGUUUUCAUUUCCCAAAAAUUAAUUAGGGGAUCAAUACUAUCGAUCCCGUCGUCCUCUUAACCCUUACCAUGCCCACCACCCUGCAAAAAACGUUUAUACAAACUU
rnacentral:rRNA from 1 species